CUUUAUGCCAGCGGACAACUGAUGCAACGAACUCGACAAACACCAACCUUGCAUUUACUGCGUCAAAAUUUUGGGAUAAUUUACCUCAAGCGGUCUGCUUUGAAGUUCUCAGAGGAAUAAGACGCGCACCGAAGGAGAAGCAUUUCCAUUGGCUCCAGUCUGCCGAGACAGUCAGCAAAGUUCACACUGCGAGAGGGGGGUAAACUGGGGCUCCUGGACUGUGUUGUGUG